rnacentral:rRNA from 1 species
CUGAUGGAGGGGGAUAACUACUGGAAACGGUAGCUAAUACCGCAUAACGUCGCAAGACCAAAGAGGGGGACCUUCGGGCCUCUUGCCAUCCGAUGUGCCCAGAUGGGAUUAGCUAGUAGGUGGGGUAACGGCUCACCUAGGCGACGAUCCCUAGCUGGUCUGAGAGGAUGACCAGCCACACUGGAACUGAGACACGGUCCAGACUCCUACGGGAGGCAGCAGUGGGGAAUAUUGCACAAUGGGCGCAAGCCUGAUGCAGCCAUGCCGCGUGUAUGAAGAAGGCUUUCGGGUUGUAAAGUACUUUCAGCGGGGAGGAAGGUGUUGAGGUUAAUAACCUCAGCAAUUGACGUUACCCGCAGAAGAAGCACCGGCUAACUCCGUGCCAGCAGCCGCGGUAAUACGGAGGGUGCAAGCGUUAAUCGGAAUUACUGGGCGUAAAGCGCACGCAGGCGGUCUGUCAAGUCGGAUGCGAAAUCCCCGGGCUCAACCUGGGAACUGCAUUCGAAACUGGCAGGCUAGGGUCUUGUAGAGGGGGUAGAAUUCCAGGUGUAGCGGUGAAAUGCGUAGAGAUCUGGAGGAAUAC